UACGUAGGGACCAAGCGUUGUUCGGAUUUACUGGGCGUAAAGGGCGCGUAGGCGGCUUAACAAGUCACUUGUGAAAUCUCCGGGCUUAACUCGGAACGGCCAAGUGAAACUGUCAAGCUAGAGUGCAGAAGGGGCAAUCGGAAUUCUUGGUGUAGCGGUGAAAUGCGUAGAUAUAGGAGGAACACCGAUAGCGAAGGCAGCUCGCUGGGACGGUACUGACGCUGAGGCGCGAAAGCGUGGGGAGCAAACAGG
rnacentral:rRNA from 1 species